rnacentral:tRNA from 1 species
GGGCGCAUAGCUCAGUUGGUUAGAGCGUCUCGCUUACACCGAGAAGGUCAGGGGUUC